AGAAGAAUAAGAUCACUAAAUAAUGGCUCUUUGAUUAAAAUGAACGACUGUGAUUAACUUUCUCUUUAUAAUGCACAGGCGUUUCUAUUUUCGGUAAAUGUGUCGUUCUUCUUGUGCACAGGAACCGCUUCUUCAUCAUGGCCCCUUCUCUAUCCUCUCUCUUGCGGGGACAUUAACAUCGACGAAACUUUCCUCUCCUGCUUAAAUAUCAUAUUCAGUAGCUAUUCUUUUUUUUGGAACAAAGCAGCCAACUUUUUCUAGCAUCUUUGUAAAUAAUUGAGAGAAUUGUACCUAAUGGCUAAUAACAAUUAACUAGGCCAAAAUUUUCAAUAGAAAAGAAAGCUAUGUAGCAUUUUGUGUUUUCGAUAGUUUUUGUUUCCAUGUUGAAGGAUUGAAUAAAGUUGGGCGGCUGGUUUCUCCUUAAAAUUGGGGGAGUUUUAUCCAAAAUCAAUUAAUUAGGUAGAAGUUUUUAACAAAAAUGAAAACUUUGUAGUCUCUGGUGAAAUAAAAUUGUGUAGACU
rnacentral:lncRNA from 1 species